GACGAGCGCUGGCGGCGUGCUUAACACAUGCAAGUCGAACGGAAAGGCCCUGCUUUUGUGGGGUGCUCGAGUGGCGAACGGGUGAGUAACACGUGAGUAACCUGCCCUUGACUUUGGGAUAACUUCAGGAAACUGGGGCUAAUACCGGAUAGGAGCUCCUGCUGCAUGGUGGGGGUUGGAAAGUUUCGGCGGUUGGGGAUGGACUCGCGGCUUAUCAGCUUGUUGGUGGGGUAGUGGCUUACCAAGGCUUUGACGGGUAGCCGGCCUGAGAGGGUGACCGGCCACAUUGGGCUGAGAUACGGCCCAGACUCCUACGGGAGGCAGCAGUGGGGAAUAUUGCACAAUGGGCGGAAGCCUGAUGCAGCAACGCCGCGUGCGGGAUGACGGCCUUCGGGUUGUAAACCGCUUUCGCCUGUGACGAAGCGUGAGUGACGGUAAUGGGUAAAGAAGCACCGGCUAACUACGUG
rnacentral:rRNA from 1 species